AUUGAACACUGGCGGCAGGCCUAACACAUGCAAGUCGAACGGUAACAGGAAGAAGCUUGCUUCUUUGCUGACGAGUGGCGGACGGGUGAGUAAUGUCUGGGAAACUGCCUGAUGGAGGGGGAUAACUACUGGAAACGGUAGCUAAUACCGCAUAACGUCGCAAGACCAAAGAGGGGGACCUUCGGGCCUCUUGCCAUCGGAUGUGCCCAGAUGGGAUUAGCUAGUAGGUGGGGUAACGGCUCACCUAGGCGACGAUCCCUAGCUGGUCUGAGAGGAUGACCAGCCACACUGGAACUGAGACACGGUCCAGACUCCUACGGGAGGCAGCAGUGGGGAAUAUUGCACAAAGGGCGCAAGCCUGAUGCAGCCAUGCCGCGUGUAUGAAGAAGGCCUUCGGGUUGUAAAGUACUUUCAGCGGGGAGGAAGGGAGUAAAGUUAAUACCUUUGCUCAUUGACGUUACCCGCAGAAGAAGCACCGGCUAACUCCGUG
rnacentral:rRNA from 1 species